UACGGAGGGUGCGAGCGUUGCUCGGAAUUACUGGGCGUAAAGCGUACGCAGGCGGCUUGGUGUGUCGGAUGUGAAAGCCCCGGGCUCAACCCGGGAACGGCAUUCGAAACUGCCGAGCUGGAGUUCGGGAGAGGGGAGUGGAAUUCCUGGUGUAGAGGUGAAAUUCGUUGAUAUCAGGAGGAACACCGGCGGCGAAAGCGGCUUCCUGGCCCGAUACUGACGCUCAUGUACGAAAGCGUGGGGAGCAAACAGG
rnacentral:rRNA from 1 species